AUAAAUUAAAUUCUGCUGCAACUAUUGGGGCUGGAAAUGCAAAUGUAAAAAAAAUGGCUUGGGUACGCCUUACACAAGAAUUUAACUCCAUUGAGACCAAUAGUAAACGAACAGAGGCACAAUUAAAAAAAUGUUGGGACAAUUUAAAAACCAGAAGAAAACAAUUUCUAGCACAAGAAAAAAGGGAACGCAUGAGGACCGGAGGUGGGUUGUAUGCAGCUAGUACCUCUCAAGGCUCCCAGGAGGCUAUUGAUGCUGCUCUUUUGGAUGCCACAAAUAUAGAGCUACAAGGCGUGUUUGAUAGUGAUAGUGAUAUGGUGUUGGACCACAACAUGUUAGCCCCAGUACCCGAUCUCCCUGCACCUGCAGCCCCUGCAGCACCCGCUAAUACCGUGUGCGUCAAGCUAGCGGCCUCAAAAAAAAAUGGGCACGAAAAAAUAAUUUGACCAUACCAAAAAAUAGUACUCUUAUUGAAAAAAAUAGUACCUGUUGUAAAAAAAAUAGUACCAUCACGGUUCUGGAUUUAUAGCCAUGUUUUAUUGCACUUGCUAGCUUGACGGUGAGCGAAAUUUGACGAGAGUUAACGACAAGGUCUUUCGCUUUGAUUUAAACGCCAAAAAAUAGUACCGAAAUAGUACUCACCCCCUGCAAAAUACCGAAAUGAGUACUUCAACGGUUCCAAAGUUAUAAAGGCAGUUCUUUGAUCCCGCUGGCUUGACGUUUUGAAAAUACCUAUUAUCUGGGGAACGCUUGCAUACUUCAGUUUGUAACUAAUGUCAAUAAACUCGUAUGAAAUAGUACUCCCUACCAUCAUAAUUUGGACCUGAUUCUCUUUGUAGAAAUAUGUCAAAAAGUCAUUAUAACCUAUGUCAUACAUUUAUCAAGACAGGUACCGUCGCGAACAAAAUUAUUACACAUGCUCAAGAAGGAUGUUGUCAGAUUUUAGUAUUUUUUUCCCAUUUUUGGGUAAAAAAUGGUGAUGAGCCCGGGUUGUCAAAUGAAAGUAAUAUCAUUGUUGAAACUCUUUGAGUUAUUCUACAAAUACUGCAAAUUGUUUAUUAACAAACACUUCGAUCCGUAACAAAUUGAAUAUGAAGGUAUAAAUUAUAAAAUAAAACAGUAGAUUAAAAAUGAAUUAUGAUGUAUUAAAAUCACAGAUUGUUUUCAAUAAGAACUAGACCCAUGCAGCCAUUUUCUAUUAAAAUUAGUGCAUAUGGGUGUAUGAAAUAGCAUUUUUUUUGUAAUAGAAACACUCUGAAGUGCAAAGAAAUGGUAGGGUAGACCUCCAAAAUGGCAAUACUUACGAAUAAAUUGUGAGGUUAUGUAAUUGUCUACGUGACUGUAUCAACAACAAAUGUAUGGCAUAGGUUAUGAUGUUUUUUUAACAUAUUUCUACAAAGAGAAUCGGAUCAAAAUUAUGAUGGUAGGAAGUACUAUUUCAUACGAGUUUAUUGAUAUUAGUUACAUACUGAAGUAUGCAAGCGUUCCCCAGAUAAUAGGUAUUUUCAAAACGUCAAGCUAGCGGGAUCAAAGAACUGCCUUUAUAACUUUGGAACCGUUGAAGUACUCAUUUCGGUAUUUUGCAGGGGGUGAGUACUAUUUCGGUACUAUUUUUUGGCGUUUAAAUCAAAGCGAAAGACCUUGUCGUUAACUCUCGCCAAAUUUCGCUCACCGUCAAGCUAGCAAGUGCAAUAAAACAUGGCUAUAAAUCCAGAACCGUGAUGGUACUAAUUUUUUUACAACAGGUACUAUUUUUUUCAAUAAGAGUACUAUUUUUUGGUAUGGUCAAAUUAUUUUUUCGUGCACAUUUUUUUUUUGAGGCCGCUAGCUUGACGCACACCUAAUACCUCACCUGGCGAAGGACCAUCCCAAAUACAAAAAGCUAUUCCUGUGGAAGUUGAUAUUGAAAUAAUGGAUAAUCAAUAUCGUCCAUCAGCCGGGUCUCGUCUCUCCGAUUAUGAGCCACCUUCUCUAAUUCAAGAGUCUGUUCCUGUGGCACAAGUAGAGCUACCUCGUCGACCAUCAACUGGAUUGAGAGAACAUGAUUAUGGAGCACCUUCUCAAACUCAAGCUUCAAAGAACAUUCGGGCUCAUGUAAUUAAUCAGGAGUUCACCUUGCGAAAGGAUAGAUAUCAGGUGAUAGUGGACAGGGAGGAGGAGCUACACAAAUUGAGGAUAGCAGAGCGGGAGUGGCUCGUAAAGGCAGCUGAGGAGACAUAUCAUAAAGCUCGCCUUGAAAAGGAAAGUGCGCAGGAGUUGCUGCUAUGCAGCCGGGCUAAGCGAGAGCUAGCAGAGCUGCAUCUUUCUAGGGAAAGAAAGAAAUAAAUUGAUAGUUUUUAUUACAUUUUUUUUAUUGAGCAUAUCCCUUGUAUUUGGAGCAAUAACUAAUUUUAACUAUGAUACAAAUAAUGGAAUCUUAAAGAAUAUUUCUAAGAACUUUUUCUAUAUGAAUUAUAACAUAAUAUUAUAGGUAUUUAAUACAUAUCUAACAUCUAGAUAGAAACUAAACUAGUACAUAAUACAAUACAGUAACUCUUUAUUAUUUAAAUACAAGAAGCAAGUGGUACAAAAGGCGUUCUUUUUGCUGAGGAAACAUAACUAACAUAACAAAAUUAUACUUAACUAAAAUGUCUUGCGAUAAAACUAGCUCUUAUAAUACUACCUCGUUCAUUGUCUGGAACAGGUGUUGGUGGGUCUAUCCUUGACCUCAAGGGUUCUGGCAUUUCUUGGUUAGUGUUAACACUGAUAUUGUGCAAUACAGCACAUGCCACGAUGAUGUUAGGGACAUUUUUUAUUUUGUUCUGAAGCUUCCUGCUUAAACAAGCAAAUCUUCUUUUCAGGACACCAUUCAGCCUUUCUAUAAUAUUUCUAGUACUGAUAUGGGAUCUGUUGUAGCGCUCCUGAUCUGGUGUUUGUGGAUUUAGCACGGGAGUAUACGUGUAAGACGACUGUGCAUAUCCACUGUCCCCUAAAAGUAUGCCAGCACCUACUAAAUCCCCUUCUUCAAAGCGCAUACUACAACGGCUGUUGCUGAAUAUGCGGGAAUCAUGGGCAGAUCCUGGCCACCUCGCCACAAUGUCGUAAAUCAACAUUUGUGGCCCGCAUAUUAGUUGUACAUUUAUAGAGAACUCACCUUUUCUAUUUCUGAAAAGUUCUCCAUUUUCCCGACUCGGAUUUUUAAUUGGUACGUGAGUGCAGUCAAUGCACCCGAUUACCCCUGGGAAUUGAGCACGUUGGUAAAAUGCUCUCUUCACGUUGGCUCUCUCGUGUGCUCCAGGGAACUUGAUAAACUCAACUACUUUCAUUGCUAAUAUUUUCGAUAGCUUAGCCACGAUUUUAGAUACAACUGGCUGACUGAUCUUAUGCAGGUCUCCGCAAACAAUCUGUUGAAACAGAAAUAGUUUGGUAAAUAUUUUUUAUAACUGUAGAUAAGUAAUUAUAUAAAUGCUUGAAUGGCUAACUUACCUGGAAGUUUCCUGUAGCAUAAAAUCUUAACGCUAUGAGUAGUUGCAAUAUGGGUGGUAAAGGUAACCCUUUGUUGGUUACAUUUGAUUGCAAUCCAAUCAGUGGCAAUAUCAUAUGAACAACGGUAUCUUUCCUAAAUCGAAAGCGUUUUUGAAAUUGUUCUUCGUCGUAACAUUCCAAAGGGUUUUGAGCGUCUCUGAUAUAUUUCCGCGCCGGAUAAUCGUAAGGAUUAUCAUAAACAUAAUCCAUAAACUCUUCAAAGUCACUAUAUAAGUCACUAUCACUCAUUUUAAUAACAAAAAUCGAAGUUUGUAAUAUAAAAAGUAUCGUCACAACAAGCGUUUGCACGGAUUUCAAGCGUUGAGUAGUCCUUAAGGUUGGUCACGAGGUACCUUACAUUUGACAGUUCAUUCCUCAAUUUUUACUCACCUCCAGUGAGGAAGAACCAUAAGUCGAGGACGUAAAUGUCAACUAUGAAUACCAAAAAUCCUCAACCGAGGUUGAGUCGAGUGGAGGAAAUCUUGAGUGACAUCUGAGAAUACGGGUGUAAGUCUCAAUUUACAUAUUAAACCGUAAUUCUACAUAAAAUAAAGCUACAAAUCCUUUAAAAGUGAGUUUAUAUUAUUCCGCUACAAUGGAUUUCCCCUAUACGUUACCAAAAUUAAUUUCGUUACAAAUCCCAAAUUCGAAAGAUAACUACCAAACUCUGUCCUUUAUUUGAAUAUAGCAACAUUUUUUGAGCGGUUGCAACCAAAAAGGUAUGAAAAACAGGUCAGUUCGCGUCGGAAUUUGUAACGGAACGUUUGUGUUCGACGUGUCUCAUCCCUGUGUUCCCAACAACCUCGGAUCAUGGCGCCUCUAACACCAGCCCAGAAACAAAAAAUUACAGGGAACGAAUUAAACAAGAUCCAGAAAAAUAUAAUUGGCGAGAUGAACGAAGAAGAAAAAAAAGAACAAAGAAAAAUUUGGAGAGUCAAAAAAAAGGGAACAAAAAAUGAAAAAUAUUGAAAAAAAAAAUACACGACGAUGAAAAACAAAAACUUGAAGAGAAAAAAAGAAUCAUAAUGAUGAGAAACAGAUAUGCCGAAAACACAGAAAAGAUAGAGCACAUUUGCUUUUAGUUAAAAAAUAUAAUCGUGCUUUAACAAAAAUAAAAAAACUUAAAAACAUAAUUGAUUAUAGAAGAAAACUAUACAAAAACUUGGAAACUACUACUGCACAAAAACUUAAGGAACUGGAAGAUACUAUUAACAAGAAACAAGCCCGGGAGGAGGUCCUAGAAAUUUCACUUCGAAAUGUCUACAGACAGUGUUCCUCUUCAACAGAAAAAGACGUUUUGAAGAAUAUUGUCAAUCAGGAACCUAUUAAACAAAACAAAUCUGUAGGUUACGUAGCGAAAUUGCUAGGUUUGCGUGGAAGAAUUCGACACAAUAAAGCAAAAAUACCAAAAUAUUCAGUAUUUGAGAAGGAAGUACGAGCCUUUUAUCUCCGUGAUGACGUCAGCCGAUGUACUUCGGGUAAAAAAGAGUGUAUAACUAACAAGAAAAAUAAGCAACAAAGAAGAUAUUUACUGGAUGUUUUGUCUAAUUUAUACGAAAAGUAUAAAAAGGAAGGGGGAAAAUUCAGCUUUUCCACAUUUUUUAAGUACAAACCAUUUUUUGUAUUGUCACCAGGUCUUACCAACAGAGAGACAUGUCUGUGUAUUAAGCACAGUAACAUGGAUUUAUUAUUUAUGGCCCUUAAACAAAGUGGAUUGUUAUCGAACCAAAAUAUUUUUGCACUGCUGACCAGCCUAGUUUGUGACACAAAAAAACUUUUUUUUAUUUCCAACCGAAAUAAAUAUUAUUUCAAAAAUGUUAA